UACGUAGGGUGCGAGCGUUAAUCGGAAUUACUGGGCGUAAAGCGUGCGUAGGUGGUUCGUUAAGUCUGUCGUGAAAGCCCCGGGCUCAACCUGGGAAUGGCGAUGGAUACUGGCGGGCUAGAGUGCGGUAGAGGAGAGUGGAAUUCCCGGUGUAGUGGUGAAAUGCGUAGAUAUCGGGAGGAACACCAGUGGCGAAGGCGACUACCUGGCCCAUUCUUGACGCUGAGGCGCGAAAGCUAGGGGAGCGAACGGG
rnacentral:rRNA from 1 species